rnacentral:rRNA from 1 species
UACGGAGGGUGCAAGCGUUAUCCGGAUUCACUGGGUUUAAAGGGUGCGUAGGAGGGCAGGUAAGUCAGUGGUGAAAUCUCCGAGCUUAACUUGGAAACUGCCGUUGAUACUAUCUGCCUUGAAUAUUGUGGAGGUGAGCGGAAUAUGUCAUGUAGCGGUGAAAUGCUUAGAUAUGACAUAGAACACCUAUUGCGAAGGCAGCUCGCUACACAUAUAUUGACUCUGAGGCACGAAAGCGUGGGGAUCAAACAGG